rnacentral:rRNA from 1 species
AUUGAACGCUGGCGGAAUGCUUUACACAUGCAAGUCGAACGGCAGCACGGACUUCGGUCUGGUGGCGAGUGGCGAACGGGUGAGUAAUAUAUCGGAACGUACCGAGUAAUGGGGGAUAACGCACCGAAAGGUGUGCUAAUACCGCAUACGCCCUGAGGGGGAAAGCAGGGGAUCGUAAGACCUUGCGUUAUUCGAGCGGCCGACGUCUGAUUAGCUAGUUGGUGAGGUAAUGGCUCACCAAGGCGACGAUCAGUAGCGGGUCUGAGAGGAUGAUCCGCCACACUGGAACUGAGACACGGUCCAGACUCCUACGGGUGGCUG